rnacentral:rRNA from 1 species
CCUACGGGUGGCAGCAGUGGGGGAUAUUGCACAAUGGGGGGAACCCUGAUGCAGCGACGCCGCGUGUGGGAAGACGGUCCUCUGGAUUGUAACCCACUGUCCCCAGGAACGAAAAUGACGGUACCUGGGGAGGAAGCUCCGGCUAACUACGUGCAAGCAGCCGCGGUAAUACGUAGGAAGCGAGCGUUGUCCGGAAGUACUGGGUGUAAUGGGAGCGUAGGCGGGGGUGCAAGUUGGGUGUCAAAACUACCGGCUCAACUGGUAGUCGCACUCAAAACUGCAGCUCUUGAGUGAAGUAGAGGCAGGCGGAAUUCCUAGUGUAGCGGUGAAAUGCGUAGAUAUUAGGAGGAACACCAGUGGCGAAGGCGGCCUGCUGGGCUUUUACUGACGCUGAGGCUCGAAAGUGUGGGGAGCAAACAGGAUUAGAUACCCGGGUAGUC